rnacentral:rRNA from 1 species
GUGAGGAAUAUUGGGCAAUGGGCGCAAGCCUGACCCAGCCAUGCCGCGUGAAGGUAGAAGGCCCUAUGGGUUGUAAACUUCUUUUAUACGGGAAGAAACUUCCGAACGUGUUCGGAAUUGACUGUACCGUAGGAAUAAGCAUCGGCUAACUCCGUGCCAGCAGCCGCGGUAAUACGGAGGAUGCAAGCGUUAUCCGGAUUUAUUGGGUUUAAAGGGUGCGUAGGCGGAAUGAUAAGUCAGUGGUGAAAGCCUGCGGCUUAACCGUAGAACUGCCAUUGAUACUGUUGUUCUUGAGUAUAGUUGAGGUGGGCGGAAUGUGUAAUGUAGCGGUGAAAUGCUUAGAUAUUACACAGAACACCGAUUGCGAAGGCAGCUCACUAAGCUGUUACUGACGCUGAGGCACGAAAGCGUGGGGAGCAAACAGGAUUAGAUACCCCAGUAGUCC